GAGUUUGAUCCUGGCUCAGGACGAACGCUGGCGGCGUGGAUUAGGCAUGCAAGUCGAGCGACGGACAGUCUUCGGACUGUUACGGAGCGGCGAACGGGUGAGUAACACGUGAAUAACCUGCCCAUAUGUUCCGGAUAAUUGGCCGAAAGGCCUUGUAAUACGGGGGAGGAUCGGUCUUUGGCAUCUUAGACCGAGGGAAGUCGCAAGACGCAUAUGGAGGGGUUCGCGGAUUAUCAGGUAGUUGGUGGGGUAACGGCCUACCAAGCCUACGACGAUUAGCUGGUCUGAGAGGAUGGUCAGCCACAUUGGAACUGAGACACUGUCCAGACUCCUACGGGAGGCUGCAGUCGAGAAUCUUGGUCAAUGCACGAAAGUGUGAACCAGCGACGCCGCGUGAAGGAUGAAGGCCCUCUGGGUCGUAAACUUCUUUUACGGGAGAAGAACACAAUGACGGUAUCCCGUGAAUAAGCCACGGCUAACUACGUGCCAGCAGCCGCGGUAAUACGUAGGUGGCAAGCGUUGUCCGGAUUUACUGGGCGUAAAGCGAACGCAGGCGGAUCUUUAAGUAGGAAGUGAAAGGUUGGAGCUCAACUCUAACACUGCUCCCUAUACUGGAGAUCUUGAGUGCCGGAGAGGAAAACGGAACAAGUUGUGUAGCGGUGAAAUGCGUUGAUAUAACUUGGAACACCAAUGGCGAAAGCAGUUUUCUGGACGGAUACUGACGCUCAUGUUCGAAAGCCAAGGUAGCAAACAGGAUUAGAUACCCUGGUAGUCUUGGCCUUAAACGAUGUUCACUAGGUGUUGGGGGGUAACCCUCGGUGCCGCAGCUAACGCAUUAAGUGAACCGCCUGGGGACUACGGCCGCAAGGUUGAAACUCAAAGGAAUUGGCGGGGGACCGCACAAGCGGUGGAGCAUAUGGCUUAAUUCGAUGCAACGCGAAGAACCUUACCAGGGCUUGACAUGCACCUGCAAGCUGCCGAAAAGCAGUCGCUUUCGAAGGUGGUGCACAGGUGGUGCAUGGCUGUCGUCAGCUCGUGUUGUGAAAUGUUGGGUUAAGUCCCGCAACGAGCGCAACCC
rnacentral:rRNA from 1 species